GGAAUCUUGAAGGAUGACUUUAGAUCCUAUUUUCGUUGGUUUAGGUACUUCAGUAAUGAUGAAUAGAAACGGUUAGGGGCAUUUGUAUUUGGUCGCUAGAGGUGAAAUUCUUGGAUUG
rnacentral:rRNA from 1 species